rnacentral:rRNA from 1 species
CACGUAGGGUGCGAGCGUUGUCCGGAAUUAUUGGGCGUAAAGAGCUCGUAGGCGGUGUGUCGCGUCGGCCGUGAAAACCUGCAGCUUAACUGUGGGCUUGCAGUCGAUACGGGCAUCACUGGAGUUCGGCAGGGGAGACUGGAAUUCCUGGUGUAGCGGUGAAAUGCGCAGAUAUCAGGAGGAACACCGGUGGCGAAGGCGGGUCUCUGGGCCGAUACUGACGCUGAGGAGCGAAAGCGUGGGGAGCGAACAGG